AAGGCACCAUUGCUUAAUAAUUGAUGGAUGGCUGUUGGUGGAACAUAAAGCGGCGAAAAGUAGUGACCAUAUGGAAUAUAAUUUGGAUGAUAAUGGGGUAGAUGCAUCCCUGCAGCCUGCCGAAAUACAGGGACAGGUUGCUGUGGUACAGCUAUCGAACUCUGCAUAAUGGAUGAUAAUGGGGCAGAUGCAUCCCUGCAGCCUGCCGAAAUACAGGGACAGGUUGCUGUGGUACAGCUAUCGAACUCUGCAUAAGCCCAGCAGCUUGAGUCACAAGUGGCGUCGGAGCGGCAGUAGAUAAAGCAA
rnacentral:lncRNA from 1 species